rnacentral:lncRNA from 1 species
ACAUUCUAGGUGAGGCCAUCCCUUAGUCCAAUCCCAGUUCCCAGUGGCUGUCUCUUGCAGGCCUGUAACCAGGAUAGGCUCCUGCAUAGCCAUUUCCCGAGCCACUUUAUCUGCUUUGUUACUGCCCCAUGCCACUGAAUCUCUUCCCUCCUGAUAUCCUGAGCAAUGAAUAGUACUCACAGUUGUUGGCUUCACCAGGGCAUCCAAGAGAUGGCAAAGACAUCUGCAGCACUGAUGUGCUGGGGGGUUGAGGUUCAGCCAUCCCAGAUGACAUUGUGUUGCCCACCAUGGCAGCACCCACUUAUCUCUGACCUUCAUGAAGAGAACUGUUCCCGUCUGUGGACAAGGUCCUCGGCUUUCAGCAGGGGUCAAUCAACCAGUCACAGAGGUCUUUCCUCCACCCAUGGGCUUCUGCCAGUGCUUGACACUCAUGUUGCAGAGGCUCCAGGUCAGGAUUGGGCAGCAAGGUGACCAGAUUGUCCCCAACCAGUGGAGAAUCUAGUCCAUCGCAGCUGACCAGUGGUCCCAUCUUUUGGGACAUUCUAUUCAAAGGCAAAAUAUCAGCCACUCUAUCACAGUUUAAGUCCUGGAUUGGGUGAUAAUUGUCAGUGCCUGGCUGGCAGGAACGGUGUGUUCCAGGCAGAAUGGCACUAAGCCACACAUCUCCCAGCAUCAGGUACUGGUGCACUGAGACAGGUCUUAA